ACCUCUCGGGGUUACAGCCUUGCUGAAUUAUUCACCCUUGUCUUUUGCGUACUUCUUGUUUCCUUGGUGGGUUCGCCCACCACUAGGACAAACAUAAACCUUUUGUAAUUGCAAUCAGCGUCAGUAACAAAUUAAUAAUUACAACUUUCAACAACGGAUCUCUUGGUUCUGGCAUCGAUGAAGAACGCAUCGAAAUGCGAUAAGUAGUGUGAAUUGCAGAAUUCAGUGAAUCAUCCAAUCUUUGAACGCACAUUGCGCCCUUUGGUAUUCCAAAGGGCAUGCCUGUUCGAGCGUCAUUUGUACCCUCAAGCUUUGCUUGGUGUUGGGCGUCUUGUCUCUAGCUUUGCUGGAGACUCGCCUUAAAGUAAUUGGCAGCCGGCCUACUGGUUUCGGAGCGCAGCACAAGUCGCACUCUCUAUCAUCAAAGGUCUAGCAUCCAUUAAGCCUUUUUUUCAACUUUUGACCUCGGAUCAGGUAGGGAUACCCGCUGAACUUAAGCAUAUCAAUAACCGGAGGAA
rnacentral:rRNA from 1 species